GAUAGAUUCCUUGUUAAUUAAAUAUAUCUCAAAUAUUCGAUGAGUCUGUUCACCUGUCUGUAAUACGCUUCCUGUUCUUAAUCCUAAUUUUCUAGUCAUUCUUAACCUGAACUCGCAAGGUGUAUAUAAUCAACUACAGAUGCUUCCAAGCCACGUUUCUUUCUUCCUUUUUCAUCUUUAGAUGGGCCAACGCAUAUCCUUUCCACACUUUCUUUCUUUAAAGCUUAAAACUAUUGACUUUUCUUUAAAGCUUAAAACUAUCUUUUUCUUGAGACUUUGAAGGCAAUAAAUUCAUUCUUAAUCAAAAUAUAGGAAAAUUAUUCUAAAACAUGAAACACUAACGUUGAUUACAUGUCUCUCUCACCAGGGUAUGUCUUCUAUUUCUAAGAAUGUCGGGGCCAAGACAGAGACAAUCGAAGCUUCUAGCAUCAAUUUCCAUAAAUUGCGGGUUCUGUGUUUAACCACCGGAAGUCACUCUGUUCAUGCACGAGAUUUGACUCAGCCACUGACAGGAAAGCAGCUUCCAACAUCUUCUUCUUCUUCUUUUCUCAAUGUUCCUUCUAACAUGCCUACUCGUGUCAUGUUCAAUUGUAGGCAUGGUCCGAGUAACAGAUGCCGUAGGUGCCCUCACAUGGCCGACCAUUGAUACUUGCAGAGCUUCCUCUUCGUAG
rnacentral:misc_RNA from 1 species